rfam:Oryza meridionalis cultivar OR44 (W2112) chromosome 1, whole genome shotgun sequence.
UUUAAGUACGACUAUAAGUUUCCGUGUCGAAUUUUAACUGUCCGUCUUAUUUGAAAUGUUUUUAUAAUUAGUAUUUUUAUUGUUAUGAGAUGAUAAAAUAUGAAUAGUACUUAUGCUUGACUUAUUUUUUAAUUUUUUUAAAAAAAAAAUUAAAUAAGAUGAACGAUUAAAUUUGGACACGGAAAAUUAUGUCUGCACUUAAA